rnacentral:rRNA from 1 species
AGCCUGAACGCUGGCGGCGUGGCUAAGACAUGCAAGUCGUACGGAGGUAGCAAUACCUCAGUGGCGAACGGGUGAGUAAUGAAUCGCUAACGUGCCCUGGACUUCGGGAUAGCUAUCCGAAAAGGGUAGGUAAUACCGGGUGAUAUACCCUUUCCGCAUGGAAGGGGUCUCAAAGGUCCGCCGGUCUUCGGUGGAUGGUCUGGGAGCGGGCGAUUUCGUAUCAGCUAGUUGGUGGGGUAACGGCCCACCAAGGCGACGACGCGUAGCCGGACUGAGAGGUUGGCCGGCCACAUUGGGACUGAGACACUGCCCAGACUCCUACGGGGGCUGCAGUAACGAAUCUUCCGCAAUGCACGAAAGUGUGACGGAGCGACGCCGCGUGGAGGACGAAGUUCUUCGGAAUGUAAACUCCUGUCAGGGAAAGAAAGUUCUGAUCUACCCCAGAGGAAGAGGCGGCUAACUCUGCGCCAGCAGCCGC